GCAGGCUGCAACUCGCCUGCAUGAAGUCGGAAUUGCUAGUAAUCGCGGAUCAGAAUGCCGCGGUGAAUGCGUUCCCGGGUCUUGUACACACCGCCCGUCACACCAUGGAAGUUGGGGGUGCCCAAAGCCGGCAGGGAAAUAUGCUGUCUAAGGCAAAACCAAUGACUGGGGUGAAGUCGUAACAAGGUACC
rnacentral:rRNA from 1 species